AAACUCAUGUUGUCUGGAGACCACGCCUUGGAGUUAAUGAGGGAAUGGGAAAAUAAUCUAGACAUCGGUGAGGAAUGCAAUACGUAACAAGAAUCAAGUAACCCUGCUACUACCUGCCAGCAGGCUGAAACCAGUGAAGCACAAGAAAGCUCUGCCAGUUACAAUGAUAACAUAGAACCUGGUGCAGAAAUUGAAAGAGAGAAAGGGGGCAACAAACCCUCCACAGCAGCAGACCAGAGCCAUGUUCAGGAUCGUUUCACUGAUGCCAGUUCUCUAGAGCCUUUUUAAGCCUCCAAAGCAUAUCAGCAGAUUGCUUCAGCUCCUUCAUUCUUGUUUCAUGGACUGGCAAGAAAAAACGUAGCACACCUGUCUUACCAAACGUAACUCUUGGGAACGAGAAUACAGCCCUCGAGACCUACAGUGUUAGAUAAAUCUUCGAGUAAAAGUUGGACUUUGUCUAGUGAAGACCAUUGACACUAUCUUGGCUAAAUUUUAACCAUGAAACACACCAAAGAGAUACCAAAGAGCAUCAUUUUUAUGAGAGAUGAAGAUACAAUUCUUCAUCUCUCGUUUUUAUAAUAUGAAGAUACCAUUUUAAACUGUGUUUGAAUACUGUGAUGAGUUAAUAUGUGUAAUUUUGACUCAGAAAAUAGUUAGUGAAGAUUAAAGUCAAGAAAAUAGUCAUAUAAAGUUGUUAAAGCAAGAAAGUUCUGUCUCAGAAAGAUUGGAUUUAAAAUGUACAGGUACGAAGCUUGUCUCUGUGUACUGUAGGAGAGAAAAAAUUACCAUUUCUGUAUGAUCUUAUUUUUACAUACGAUAUAUAUCACAAUAUAUGUUAUACAGUAUGGUACAGUUACACUAGAAUAGUAUUUUGUAAUUCUUCUCUGUUGCACCACUUUGCUCAUAUUGGUGUUCUUCCCACCUUUUUAGUGUGUUUAUAAAGUUGUGGUCAUUAUUUUUAUUUUUUAAAAUGUAGUCCCCUGCAGGUAGGUCAGUAUCUCCAGUAUCAAAUUCAAAGUGGAAUCAGGAUUGCCAGGAAAAAAAGGGAGAAUUGGACAAGUCCUUGGUGCCUUCCACCAGUGAACCAGGAAAUAAAAGCCUACUGACUUCUGCUGUUGCAUUCAGAACCAAAAAGAAAUCGUAGGGCAACCAUCAACUCCAAACAGCUUAAGAGUAAACAACUAUUACUUGUGUCAGAAUGAGCAGACCAUAUAAAGAUGGACAAAUCUAUCCUGAAGUGUUUGCCUCUAGUCUCCUGAACCCUUUAAUCAGAAAGCUUUAGCUUUCCUUUAGCACUGAAGAAAAUCUAACAGCAGUGUGAACUCCUAACCUCUAAGAGGACAUCCACUGAGAGUAUUUUUGUCAGAGUACAAAUUACAGAAUUGUCUAAAAAUGUAUGUGAUUUACCUGUUCUAUACUAAUAAGCACCAUGCCAGGUAGGCAGCUGGCUUUCACAAAUCCAUUUUGCUGUGUUUUACUUACGUUUACUUUCUUUCCUUUUAUCACAAAUGUUUAGGGGCAAAAAAAUGAGGCCAGAAUCUGUAAUAGGGAUUCCCAAGCACUGGAUGCUUUACACCCUGAGAAUAUUCUGAGAAAUUGCUUAUAAAUUUGCCUGAGGCAUUACAGCAGAAGUGCUCCAGUCUAUGGAAUUUGUUACUGCUAUUUUAGGUUGCCGUCAAUUGCUUAUUUUUAAACAGAACUUAUUUUAAGCUUGAUGAAUAGGAAAUGUAUUUUUAAGUACAAUGGAAUUGCUAUGGUUCUCACUACUGAAUUUCUGGUGUGUUGAUUAAAUUCUUUAAAUAAAACAGGUGUUAGAGUAAUGGCCUUUACAAGUUAAUUAAUCUUCAUUUUCAAAAGGAUGAGCUACCAUUAAGCUUAGGUUUAUUAUACAUAUGUGUAAAUUGCAAUGUGAUUUACUGUUCCAAAGACAAAGCCACUCCCUAAGGACAGGUCUUUCCCAUAGACUGGCGUUGUGGUACAUGGUGUGAGCAAAAUAUACACACUCCUGGCUGGUUGAAAACAUUUCCUUAAAUAUAUGUACAUUCUGUGUUAUGGCUUAUUCAAGCAGUUAUGCUGAGAAUAUCAGUCUGAGGAGACAUCACCUACUUAAAUAUCUUCUGAUCUCCACAAUAAUCUUAAAAUUCCUCUUACAGCCAUUACAACCUUGACUUCAUUGAGGCGUGAAGUAUUCCUAUUAGAGGGCCAAAAUCUUUCUCUGUACAUAGGUGAAAACUUGGAGAGAUCUGAUUUACAGUAAACGAAGAAAGAGCUUUUUGACCAUAUAAUAUUAGAAGGGUAAUAUAUCACUCUCAUUCUCAAUGAAGAGUAUAGCUGUCUGUAUAAUCAGGCACCUUUUUGGGAGAAUUAAUCUUCUAGUUUCUGUUUUUCAAAUCAAAGUCAAGUCUGUUGAGGAGCUGGGCACAAAAGGUGUAUUCCACCAAAUGUGGUGACCGUAAGAAAGUCAGAUUUCUAUACUUUUCAGACAGACUUCAGCAAGAAUUUCACUUUAAACAGGAAGUUGUCCUUUCUUUCUCUUUUUGUUGUGUGCUCACACAGUAGUGAAGUCUACUUCACAUACAAGCUCUAAUAGUCACACUGUUUUUAUUUGAUGUGGUUCAAAUCUUUUACAAAGUCCAGACUGCUUUCUGCUUCUUGUGACACCAGAAUGUUAGGUCAGACUGUGGCCUGAAUAACUGUCUCCUCAGCUAUUAACCGACACCGCUCAUUCUUUUCAUUUAGUGAGACAGUCGCUUGAAGGGCAUGUCUGGACUUACUAUUAAAACAGUGGCUGCAUCAUUAGCCAAGCUCAUGGCAGUCCUACCCCAUCACCACAGCUGCUCAGCAGUAAACUCCUUUCCCUGACAGGGCAUGGUAUUGAGGGUGCUGGUAUUCUGUUACCAGGCGCACUUUUUUGUAACACAGAUAAAAUUUCCAGAAGCCCAGCAGACACGCUGCCGUUUUCUACCACCCCUACUCUUUUGAACCAAGGAAGCUCGAAAAUGCACUGCUUCGCAUCAAAGGGUUAUGUCAUUUUUACAGCACUAGCAGAGCACAAUAAGCAUAAUUUACCUUUAAAGAGUGAGCUAUUUACUUGUCUUGGUUGCAUUCCCCUAUCCUGAGAUAUUAAAUUAUUUCCCAGCUGUCGAUCUUUAGGUAUUUUGGUUAGAGCACACAUUUUGUGGCUGGCUUCUCAACAGACUUGACUUUGAUAUCACCCGUUUGACUGUCCUUUACAUUCCUGGAUUUAUUUUGUACAUUGUUCUGUUUCGCCUAGGUACGUUUCUGCUUCCACGACUCCUCAUGCUUUUUGCCACAGACCAGAUGGAUGCCCUGUGUUGCCCCGUGUGUCAAAUAUGUCCAGUGUUGUCCCAAUAUAUCAGUGGAUUUUGAUGAUGUACAGUGGAGGGCUGUGGGGCUCACAUGGAAGAGGGCAGCAGCCUGUCAGAUCCAUGGCUUGUAACUGCCUCCUGCCCAACACGGAGUUUUAUCAGGGAAAGAAGGGAGUGAGGAAUUAGGAAUGUGUCCUGAAGGUGGUGAUGCCAGAAUGUUUGUGGAUGGGAGCGGUUGAGCUUGUGUUGGAAUUGCAGAAGAGUAGAACAUCAUCUACCCAAAGGCUGGAGAAGAAGCUUUCAUUAUGUGUGUGACUCCUAGUGUUAAAACUCUUGUCAAACAAAACAGAGCUCUUACAAUAUGCUCCAAGCGUUUUUCCUUUUUCUUCCUUAUCCUCUUUUUUCUUUAUGCCUUUUUUUCACUCCUUUUCAAUACCUACAUUUUCUCUGUUGAUUUUUUUCAUUUGUCAAAAGAUUUCUUUUCUUCUUCCACAAAUCUCUUUCUUGUCGUGCCUUUUGAUGUGGCUUUUCUCCAUGUUUCCCUUUCAACCCUCAGAGCUUACUUUAGUCUCUUCACUGUAUUUGCUACGUGGAGGAGCACUAUUGAAAAAUUAAAAGUAGAUUGCAUGGGAAUUUCUUAUUUCUCCUUUUCCUCUAGAGACCUGUUUCUCUUCCCUCCUAUUUCUAUGAAGUUUACCAUCCUCAAAUGCUUCCUUCCUCUACUUCAAAAUCAUUUAACUCAUCUUUCCCUCUAUUCCUCUUUCCUUCCACUUCAUCUUCCCCUUCACUUAUGUUGCUUGAUAUUUAACUUCUCAGGUGGAGUGAGAAUUCAUGGUAGCAUUCACAUUACCGUGUUGUGGAUAAAUAAUCUGAUCUGUAUCUCAGCCUUACUGACAAACACUUAACUUUCCGAUUGCAUCUGUACUGGCUUUUUGUUCCAUUUUUUCUUGUUACACACUCAGUAACAUAGUUAGGUUGGCAGUAUUAACUGCUACAGCCACGUUAUAACGACAGUCUCGUCUAACCCGUUACAGAUCAGGUCUGUAUGACAUUGUGAUUUAAACAGCGGUUGCUGGCAGCCUAUCUCUGCUUGUCCUCCUAUUAUUGCAACCACCAGUAGAGCUGUUCUACUGGGAAAUUUCAAGUGUAGACAAAGCUUUAAUCAACAGUAAUCUGAUCCUUUAAAAAUGCAACACCAAUUCAUUUAUUUCUCGUUUCACAUAUGAAAUUUUAAUAGGUACAAUCACCCUUAAGGAUGUUUCAAAUAUUAACAUGAUGCACAAUUACAAAACAGAAUCUUUUUUCUGUAUGGAACUAUCAGCAUCUUUGAACCAAGUAAGUAGUUUUCUGUGCAGACAUCAGGUUUACUAUCAAUCAGAAACUUAUUAACAGCUGUGUUAUCCCUAAUUAAGUGCAAAGCAAUGGCAGACUUUUUAAUUAAGUCUUAUUUUCCUGAGAGGAGACUGGUGGGGUUUUUUUUCCUUCUCUUCUCCACCUCCAUUCUUAUUUACUGUGCAAAGCCCGCUUUAAAAAUAACUGGGACACAAGAUGGGGCCAUUGACAAGGGGCCAAGAUACCAGGAAAUACUUCCUUUACAGAAUGGCUGUGUGAUUAUACUGGCCAUAUUUCCUUCGGCUUUGUAAAAUAAUCUGAAAUUUUAAAAUUUUCUUGUGGUGUUUUUCAUUUGGAUUUCUUUUUUUAGUUCUGUUCUUGUCUGAAGGGUAUCUCCUCUAUUGUCAGUGUCAGCAAAAGUAUUAUUGCAAUUAAUUUUAGUGUAUAAAUUCAUUUGAGAGAGAGGGGAGAGGCAUGACAUCAUAUGCACCAAAAAACGGUCCUUGUUGACUGAGUAGACCUCUGGGUGUGUACUACAGUGAAGAAAGUACAUAGUUGCUACGGGAAAGAACUGGCCUUGCAGGUAAAUUGAAGUUUAAGUCUCUGCGGGUGUUUUAUUUUCUUAGUCCUGAGCAGUGCUGAGUGAUAUAUACAUACUCGUGAAGGAGGAAGAGAAGUACCCUGAAAACUUUCUUAAUCUGCACUUCCUACCUGGCAGUAUUUAAUCUGGAGAUCUUCUGUAACCACAGUUGCUGGAUCGUUACUUUGCUCAGAGGGUAAGCAGUGUGUACAUGUAGGAGGGCAGACUAAUCUCAUACUGCUCUUGACAGUAUUUUCAAGUAUGAAUAUUUUUAUUUACAGGUAUAGAAAUGCCUUCUGUGUUCAGCGUAUCUGAGAGACAAGAUGGCUAAAGGCAAAUUCUGACCUUGGUGUGCUGAUAGUUUACACCAAGGACUUCAGUGAAAUGCUGAUGGUUUACAUGGGGUGAGGAUCUGUCCCUUACAGUUUAAAGAGAGUGUGGAUCACCACAUGAUAGGAAUUUCAGGGCAGAAGAGGAUCAAGCCGUUGCCCAGCAAGUUUAAAAGGAGCAGUAGGUCACUGGAACCUAAAAGCCAUAGAAACUCCUGGCGUUGCCUAGCUAGCCUUCCACUGAGCUCUGGGGAGCAGGAACUGUCAUUUUCUGAGGGUUUACAGAGUGCUUGUUGCAACCUGAGCUGGCUUGAACCUAAGACACUGUUGUAAUGUAAGCACUGAGGCCAGUAAAAUCAUGGUAAUGGUUGUGGAACCACAAUAGCUUUAAAAUGCGGUGUCUCAAUUAUGGCAGCAAGUAAAAGUCUAGGUAUAGCAGCUCCUCAUUUAUGGGUGUGCAGGUAUGUCCUAAUUGUUUGUCAUAUAGCAUGACAAAAAUUAAAAGGGCAACACUGUUUGACUCCUGCUUUGUGAAGCAAGCCAGUUAAUUUUUUGCAGCUACACCUAUUGCGUGGUUUCUUUGUUGUUUCCGGCAGAGAUUCUUGAUUUGUAUAUUUAGAAGUUUCUGUUUAGUAGUCCAUAUGUGGCACACUUUGGUUCAUUGCAGUCAGAGGGCUUAAUGAAUGACUACUGUUUAUGUGUUGUCUGGCUGUUAAAGCUUCAUCCAUAUUUGUGUCUAACCCCAGCUUUGUUUCCAGGAAGAAAGCAACUGAGAUAAUGCCCAGGCCUAUUUAAAAAGAGAAUAUUUUUUUUUAUAAUGGUUAUGGAUCAUUUUUAUACUUAAUAUUGUCUUGAAAACAUUGGACCUAUAGGCUUCAGGAAUGUCCAAGUCUGAUCACUUUUGUUCUGUUACUUUCAUAAAAAAAGCAGAAAUAAGCUUAUGAAUUUCUUCCACUUCUGCUCUCUGACUCUCUUCCACUUACAUUAGGCUUAUAUUCAUAGUGUAAGAAAAGUUUAGGUCCUCUGAAGAUUAAAUAAAAAAAGUGCUAUUUUAAUUCUUUUGAUGGCAAUAGCAAUGAUAGGUUAAGGUGUGAUCCUUGACAUCCCAACAGAAUGCUCCAAGGUGCUCUGGACCAGGCAGCUGCUUGUGGCCAGAGCUCUGCAAGCAGCUGCUGUGUGGUACGGAGGAACUGGUGCGGCAGGAAGGACUUUCUUGGAAGAAGGACCAGAAUUUGCAUGAGAGUAUGGCUUUGCUGGAAGUAAGUUGAAGGUAGCACCCUCUUCUUGGGUUUGUCCCCUAUUUGGGUUAACUGAGGCCUCGGAAGGGGUAAACAUCUAGUACAGUAACAUUCCUGAAGCUUCUUCCCCCUUUCCAUCUCAAAUACGUGCUUUCCAAAGGUGGAAGUUUGCCGUGGUAACUCCUAGAUUGCUAAGAGCUCUCAACACUCAGCUUGGGCUAUUCUUCUAUGUCAAGUGAGGAGUUGCUUUGCUUUUCUGUCCCAACCAAAUAUAUUAAGAAGCACUAUAAACGAUGCAGUAUUUAUCCAAAUAACUGCUGGUUUCUGGUAACAUCUGGAUUUAAUGAAUUAAGUCUUAAUUAAAACGUGUUAAAAGUGAAGGUGUCUUUCAUGUUGAUAACGUAAAGAAGUGCAGUUUAUCGUGCCUACAUUUACAAUUUGCAUGAAAAACAGAAAAGUAUUGUGCAAGCAUUCAGAGCCUGCAAAUAAAAGAUGGUGAUCAAAAUAAUUACUUCUUUCCCAUAAGUAAGUGGUUUACUAAUAAUCUAUAAAGAUACAAGGGUAGGGCAGCCAUAAUCUCAGUGUGACUGUUGAAGAAUGCAUUAUGGAGUCAUUGGAGGCUUCUUAGCAUUAACUAGGAAACACUUUGGGAAAGAUGGCGUAUCUCUACAUACUGUGAAAGAACAGGAGACUGUGGGGUGAAAGAACAGGAAGAGAAAACAGCGGCACGGGGUGACUGCUGUUACAGGUAUCUGAUAAGGAAAGAGAACUGCACUUAGCCUGAAUGAGGAGAGUCAGCAAGAACAUCACUGAAAGAGAUAAGAGGACUCUCAUCUCCCUUUUCUCCCUUUAUUUAUUCAGUGAGUUUCAGUCCUUGCAGAAAGCACCUGGUUGACAGCUCUGUACCUUGCAGUCCUUGGUUUAUUCCCAGCAGGGUUUACAGUACAGACACCUACAGCACCAGUUUCCCCCCUUUGCUCUCCUAACGGGUAAUGUAGGGCAUGCUUUUAUUUCCAAGGUGUGCUCAGUCAUGGGCCUGUCUGCCCGCUUCUGCAGCAGCGUGGGUACAGGCUGGGGUGUCUGGCAGGCUUGGAGGCUGGACUAAAAUGAGGCAGCUAAUGUCGUUACUGCCCCAGUCAUCGUCCCCACUCUUUGGUGGAUGUUACCACCCCUGAGGCAGUGAUGUCUAAGCCACUCAUGAAUCAAUUAUUGAACUGUCGCAUUUUUCAGCCUGGCCUAUUAAAUUAAACUGACAUCAGUCUCAUCUCACAAAGACAUUAGAUAGUGAUGAAUUUCAGGUACUGUUAACCUGGUUUUGAAUUGGCCAGCUAGAGACAGACAUUCAUUUUUCAUUCCAGCUGCCAGAACCACUGUCAUGUCCUAUCUUGCUGUUGCUGUUGCGGCUUGUUGAUCAAUGGGCAGCCUGCCUUGCUAGCUCCUGAGAAGGGGCAAUUUCAUAAGGAGAAAGGGAGCAUAAGGAAGCCAGGAAGGUCAAAACCUGGAUUUUUUUCUCUUUGUUAGAACUGUGAGGAAGAGUGCGUAUGUAAACAGUGAGAUUGGCUUGCUGGUUAAAAAAAAAAGCUAUACUGGAAGAAAAGGCACAAUAAUGCCUAUAUGGACUUAAAAAGGCACCACGUGGAAUGAAUGCAAUUCAAGUUAAAGGAGCUUAAAUCCGUGGAAAAAUGGGAAAAUAUUGCAUGUUGCCAACGGCCUGCAGUACACCUACUGUGUAUAAGCCCUGCUUGCUUUGCUGUGCUUCCACUCACCGGGCACACCUGCUAAGGAAGCUGUGGAAACCUUUUACUGCAGCUUGUUAAAAGGUGCAAGGUCCUCAGACUGCUCUGAGCCAAACUUGCAUGUGUGUGGCUUCGUCUGUACUUGUUCCCUUCCUGGAUUCUGGUUUUAUUGGUAACUGAAAUA